rnacentral:rRNA from 1 species
GAUGAACGCUGGCGGCGUGCUUAACACAUGCAAGUCGAACGGAAAGGCCCAAGCUUGCUUGGGUACUCGAGUGGCGAACGGGUGAGUAACACGUGGGUGAUCUGCCCUGCACUUCGGGAUAAGCCUGGGAAACUGGGUCUAAUACCGGAUAGGACGAUGGUUUGGAUGCCAUUGUGGAAAGUUUUUUCGGUGUGGGAUGAGCUCGCGGCCUAUCAGCUUGUUGGUGGGGUAAUGGCCUACCAAGGCGUCGACGGGUAGCCGGCCUGAGAGGGUGUACGGCCACAUUGGGACUGAGAUACGGCCCAGACUCCUACGGGAGGCAGCAGUGGAGAAUAUUGCACAAUGGGCGCAAGCCUGAUGCAGCGACGCCGCGUGGGGGAUGACGGCCUUCGGGUUGUAAACUCCUUUCGCUAGGGACGAAGCGUUUUUGUGACGGUACCUGGAGAAGAAGCACCGGCUAACUACGUG